rnacentral:rRNA from 1 species
UGUACACACCGCCCGUCGCACCUACCGAUUGAAUGGUCCGGUGAAGACUCGGGAUUGUGGCUUAGUUGCUUAAUUGUGAUUAGACCGUAAGAACCUGUCUAAACCUUAUCAUUUAGAGGAAGGUGAAGUCGUAACAAGGUUUCCGUAG